UGUUUGAUGGUCUGAGAGAAGAAAGAGAGCAGCAGAUGAAGCUAAAUGUAGUAAAUGACUUGUACCGAGGUCCGUGAGAGAGUACGCAGCGUUAUUUAUGGUAUGAUCGAAUAAGCUAUGGUCCGGAGGUGUUAAAGAAGCUCCAGCACCGGGAAAAAGAGCGUUAAAGAAUGGAUGGGCACGGUGUUCGCCGCUCAAAAAAGUCAUGGAUCUUUCCUUCUUUGUUUCUCUCCCACACCUUGGCUAUAUAUAUAUAUUUACACACACACGCACAGAAAAAAGAAAAAAAACUCUCUUUCCCUCAGGAUCAGGAGUGAGAGAACGGGAAACCUUCCGUUUAACUAUGAGACUGCCGUGCAUUUUUGUGCUGCAGAGAGCUAUCAAUAUUUAGAAAUGUUGAGCGAUUGUGCGAGAGCUCUCGGUUUCAGAGNNNNNNNNNNNNNNNNNNNNNNNNNNNNNNNNNNNNNNNNNNNNNNNNNNNNNNNNNNNNNNNNNNNNNNNNNNNNNNNNNNNNNNNNNNNNNNNNNNNNNNNNNNNNNNNNNNNNNNNNNNNNNNNNNNNNNNNNNNNNNNNNNNNNNNNNNNNNNNNNNNNNNNNNNNNNNNNNNNNNNNNNNNNNNNNNNNNNNNNNNNNNNNNNNNNNNNNNNNNNNNNNNNNNNNNNNNNNNNNNNNNNNNNNNNNNNNNNNNNNNNNNNNNNNNNNNNNNNNNNNNNNNNNNNNNNNNNNNNNNNNNNNNNNNNAUAUAUAUAUAUAUAUAUAUAUAUAUAAAGGAGGGGGCAACGGAGAGAGGAGGAAAAAUACAUACACUAGUUGCUUAUGUACUGGUGUUUUUGUUGAAGUGAAGGCGGCUGUUGCUGCAGCAUAAAAUGGAGAAGGUAUAGCAUAAACUAUGCAGUAGAAUAACAAAUAAAUAAAUAAUUUUUACUAAUCUCCGCUCAUUGCUGUUCAAGCAAGAAGAUGUCAUACGAGAGAGAGAGAGAAGAGAUCCGAAUCUUCUAACCUAUGCAGGACUUGAGUGUCUGAGGUGAUGGAUCCACAGACUAUUUAUAAUACUAGGUUAGGGCUUUGUAUCCUUAUCAAUAAGAUUUAUUUAUAACAGUUUCCAUCCAUCACAGAAACUACUAGAUAAAUUAAAUUUUAUAAUCUCUUUAUUUGAUUGGAUUUAAUCACCAUUUAAACGAGGUUGUAUUUAUAUUGAUGUGGAAAAAAUUGAUCAAGUGGGCUAUAUCAAGUCUCUUAAAAUUAGAAGACGUGCUAACAUAAUAAAAUUAAAAGUGGAAACUUACGUGAUGGACACCAUCUAGGAUAGAAAAUAUUGUUCCGAAAUUAACGAUGUGGUGACGAAGGCUAAAGCCAGCAAGUUCGUAACUCCCUUAAUCAAGAAAACACCCACUCGGUGAAAUAGAAGAAAAAGGUGCGAGAGAAGCCAAUUGCAAAUUUGCCCCAAAUCACCCUCCAAUCCGGAGAUGGGACAGGGACGGUGCAUAAGUAUUCUGCUGGGCCAAAUGCAAGGGCGAAUCAACUCUCUCUCCGAUAUAAGAUUCCAACUUUAUGAGCAUGCGACACCACCACCUUGGCACCUGUGGGAGUUUUGAGGCCACUCGAGGGAGCAUAAAUGCUCCCCCAUCAUGUCAUGACUCAUGACCCAUCCAAAUGGCAGGACUUUUCUUCUACAAGACCAAUUCAUGUUUGACAUGUUAGUUUGUGAGGCUGGAGAGUUGAGCUGCUCUUCUAGUGGAGAACGGUGGCUUGUUAGGGUUGUUUGCUUCUCUAUUUAUAUAUUUGGUAAUGGAGGUCCAUGUCGUCAACACGACUACGAUAACCUUUCCCCAUACAAUCCCAAUGCUGUUUAAUCUUGGUAAAGACCGCAUAUAUUGAUACAACUACUAGAGACUUUACCAACUUUAUCAACUAGUAUUUUAUCCAGUUUGUUGGUCAAAAUGCCUAAUUAUUAUCAUUGAAGGGGAUAGAAAGAGAGACCCACUGCACUAUAUAACCAAGAUUCCAAUACUUAGAGAUGCGCCAUCCAGAUUUCAAAUCCAGAAAAUGCCUGUUAUUAUAACUUCUUAUUAUUACAAGGAAGUUUAAGAAGGUGAGAGAAAAAUAUAUGUUAAAAGUUAUGGUAGCAUUGGGACGCCUAGAGAUCCAACUAGAGGAUAAUUUUUUGAAGGUUGAACUAGAGAAAAAUAAAGAAGGGAUGGCUUUGACUAUGCCACAACCAAGCUAAACUAGGUUAUUUCUAUGACAGUCUAAAACCUCACCCAAAAAAAUUAGCUAAGAAAGUAUGAUUUAGAUUUUUUGGCUUUGUAUAAUAUCCAAAUUCUACAUGUCAUCAUACCAAAUGGAGUCCGUACUAUAGUACCCUUUAGUCCAUAUAGGACAUGGAUAGAAUUCACUCUAAAUACUAUUUAUAACAAUUCAUGAUCUUACUGGAAAAGGCUAGCCGAUAAAGUGUUAUUUGAAUUCUUUGAUCUAUAUAAGUACUCCAAAUCUAUCCAAUAUAUAGGCAAUAUAGGACUAAAUAAAGACAUGCAAGGACCUUGCAAUUUCCCCAAGAAUUAGAGUAAACUGUCAUUAGCAAGUGCAAUAAAGUGUUAUUUGAGUUUUUUAUGAACCCCCACAUCACCACAAUGCUAGAAGGUACAAAUCACUUCAGUCCGUCCGUUCUGAGUCUCGAUCUGAGUUAUUAUUUAUAUUUAAUCAAGAAGGAGAUUUUAUUUUUCGGCUCCAGGCGUGUUAAAGGAUGAAGUUAACAAGGGCCAAGAUAAUGGACCUGUCGCAGGAUCUAAAAGGUGAUUUCAUUUUCACUCCACAGGAAUGCAUGCCGGGUCCAAGGAUCAGAUUUACCUAAACAAGAUAGAGCUAAAACAGGUGAGUAAGGAGGACAAAGGCCUCUUCAGAUAAUCCGGCAUUCCUGUCAUGCCACAUGGGCUGCUUCCUGGAAGUAUACUGAUUGCCUGAGCCAAGAGUAGAGCAAGAAGGGUAGUUUUAGCGUAUCAUCUUGAACUAGCGUCCACAAGAUAACUUUCCAACUAAAGACUUAUUUGGAUAAUUGGACUAAAAAUCUUACUGAAUUCAGGCAUUCAGGCGCCUGUAAUCCUAUGGUUUUACUGGUUGAAUGGGCCCAAUCUACAAAUCCAAUAAAAUUUUGGAGCAGAAUCAUCCAGACAGACAUUAAAAGAAAGUAAAACUUUCCUAAUUUACAGUUCACUUGCAUGCCCCUGCAUCCCUCUUUAUUAACAAACAACCGCACUAGGCAGCAGGGCAGCAACAGGAGGCACGAGUAUACAGGCUGGUGAAAGGCAAAAAAUCCAGCAGCUUUUGCCUUGCCAACCAUAGACAUUUGUACCUCAAACAUAUAGCUUUGUUUUUUUCUUCUUUUCUUUCCCCCCAAUCACACCUGAUCAAACCUCCCAUCCAUGGACCAGCAUUAGAGAAGCUGACCAUUACAGUAUACAUCCCUGACCUGCAGAUUGCCAACAGUUGUUAGCUCCAUGGUUGGCAUCCCUCGUCAUGGUAGAGGAGAUGCUGCACAUGAACCCCAUUUAAGUCUCUUGGCUCGAGCAGGCAAAACAUUAGCAUGGUUCAGAUGGUAGUAAUCCAUUUGUCUGCAGGACCAUGCACGUUCACACAACUUCUAUGCAAAUGGAUGGUAAAAAGAAAUAAACAAAAGAAAUAUUCACAAAUUAAACAGCAACUCUUUUAACUUUUUUUCCCCUUUUCAUCAACUAGCUUACACCACUAAAUGUACACCUUGCUCGAGUCGCAGAGCAGGAAAGCCCAUUGUUUGACCAGACCAUACUAGGCUACUGCAUCCAUAUCCGAAGCACCCUCACAUAAGAAAGGUUGGGACUCCCAUCUGAUUCCGGUCAUGAAACUGCAAUUCUAAACUAAAACCGUGCAACCACAAACCCAUCAGCCUAGAUCCCAUUAUAAGAAGAAUUUACAAAGACAAACAUCGAACUUAUGUUUCUAGGUACCUCGAUCCCACAACCAUAGCUAUCCUUUUCACCGGUUUAUUUUGUGUUUUUUCUGUUCUUUUUUUUGCCCAAGAACUGGAGAAGGGGUCAUCAGGGUGAACUACCAUGACAGAACACAGAUUCAUUAUUUUUAUUCAUUAUUUAUUUUUAUGAAUCUAUUAAAUUGUAAAUAUGAAAAAUUUCAAUUCUAUGAUUUCAGCGAGCUAACUUCAAGUACACACACCCGUAAAACCUGACUCUUGAUGUCAGAAAUUAAUUAAAGUCAGAAGAUCAUGACUUUGCUGUCGGUCCAAAUGCACUCUCGGGAAAAUCAUCUAUAGAUACCAGUGUCAGGAUGCAGACAACCCAUUACUAGCCCAGGAAACAUCUGACCACAUCAUACCAUCCGGCUAGAGUUCCAAAAAAGAUUUAACUACUGUAAUCAACACAGGGAAAACCCAUACCCAGUGCUGAUAAUUCAAGAAAGAUAAUUCAGGAAACCUCUGCUUGCUCCAUAAAGCACAUAAACCAGAACUUCCAUAUUUUAACUAUAAAAGCAAACAGACCAACCGUUAUUAAUAGAGACAUGCACUGUUAAACGCAAUAACCAAGUACUCAUGCAGUAAGUCUUUAACUACUAAUAAAAAAAACUCUAUAUAUAUGAGAAUAUGUUCUGAUGUACCGAAACAGAAAGGGUAAAAGAAAAAAAGUCCUCAAGGAAGUGCAGAUAUGUUAUGAAUUCCAGCCCUCAGAUCCCAAAAUGAUGAAGUUAAAAUCCUCCCCAAAAAAUGGAGGUUCACAGCAAAAAAGAUGACCUUAAGACAACAGUUUAAGGACAGCCCAGUGACCAAGCAUGGUAAUGAGAUAUCACCAUCAGCAAGCACCACUCUACCCAAGCAAAAUUAUGACCUCAUACUUGUAACUCUGGCUACCUUCGUCUUUCUUUUCUUUUCUUUUCUUUUCUUUUUCCAUCUUCCACUUUCUUUUUUUUAUUUUCAUUUUUUAUUUAAUAAUUUUUUAGCCGAGAAAGCAACACUUCCAUGUUUGGACAAAGCAAGUAUCUUACCUGGCAAAAUAAAACUUUGCCUCUCCUGUUGACUCCCUCCCUCACGUUUUAACCUUCCUCUGGCGAAAACAGAUUCCUAUAAUGUGUCGCUCCUGACUAGACUUCUUCCUGACUUGGAAUAAUCAGAAUUUAUGUGUCCAGUGACUUGCCCAUUUCCAUCUCCACUAAGAUCGCCCACCACGUGCAACUGGUUAUUCAAAUUCCCAGAUGCUGAUCUAAUAAGAACUACCUCAGUAUGAGUUGAGCCCCUCAUGCUAUUGUGGUUAGAUGCCCCCUCAAGUUCAACAGCUUGCAACUGAGCCACCAGGGUAUCGUAGUCUGAUGUUGCUGGUGACUGCAGGCCAGGAACAGUUCCAAAAUGAUUGGGAGAUGGGGGCAGCACCCAAUUCAUCCAGUCAUUGCGCUUCCUUAUUUUUUCACCCUGUGUCAAGGUAUGUGUAAGAGUGAAAAGGGAGAUGAAUGGUAGUAAAAUGAGAGGAAGAAAAGAUAAGGUCCUGCAAGAGAAGCUGACUAGUUAAUUUGAAAAGGAAACCGAAGACAAGAAAGAGAAAAAGAUCCAAUGAUUAGAUUCAGGAUAAUGACAUGUUUAGCGUGAAAGCAAGCCAUCCUUCAUGUUCCACUGCUCUACUUCUUACCCUUCUCUUUAUACAGUAGCACAUCAACAGGGCCAGUAAAAGUAAUCAAACUAAUUAGUAGUAGAUGAAAUAAUUUGCAUUUAACAAAUUAAUAGCUUGUUAUAUGACAUUCUAUUUUGAGUGGAAAACAACUAUUAGAACCUAAUCAAAUUUUAAUAAAAUAAUUAAAUAAAAAUAUACCUGUACUUCCACUACAUCCGACAGCCGUAUGGUAUCCAAAAUAUACUGUAUGUUAUUUGUGAAUUGCUUGACCUGCACAACAUUGCACGAACAUACAUAAGAUAGAAAUGGAGAUUUCCCAAACUUAAUAAAAAUAACAAAAUCAAGCAGAGAAGUGCAUGUACCAAUGAAAAAGAAAUCACCCUAGUUGCAAAAUGCAAAACCUAGUUACAUGAUUUUAUGGUUCAGUAACCAUCUUAAACAGAAUGCCUCUAUUAGGCAACAUUUAAUGGAUUCUGUCCUGUACUUGUAUUCAUCCUGUGCUCCAUCAACAUUAGCAUCUUCACAACUUAUGCUUAGAUUCAAAAACGAGCCACGGAGCUGCAAUAUGGUCCAUACCUACGACUUCACAUGGUUCUACAGCUGCCGUAGCCAAGCAUGUGGCCUAGCAAUGUUCAGGCCAGACAACUUUGAUAGGUCCAUACCCUAUAAUAGGUAAAUGAAACCAAAAGAGACUAAUUUACAGAUGCCCAAUUGAGGCCAUGAAAAGUUCAUAACAAAUAGAUAGAUUAAAAGUUGCCACUAAAAUAAACAUAAGACUCUUAAUUAGGUAAUUACUUUUAAGUUUGAACAAGGCAAGGACAUUUGCAAUUGAAAAACAUGCUUUCCAAGUCCUGUGAAGGACCGUGAGAUCUACAGACGAUGAUAUCUGAAGUCUAAUUAUCAUUGGUCUAAGCUGGGAAUAAGAUUUUUGGCUUUCGUGUGAUAAAAGAGCACCCACUCCUAACUACAAAAACGGCUGCAAUGGAGACAUUUUGGGAGAUCUGUAGGCUAUACCUUCAUAGAGACAAGACUGAAUGAUUUACUGGUAACUAUAUAAAGCCAGAAUUAUGGGCAUACAUGGAUAUCAGAAUGAUCAAAUGACCCCUCAUUCAAUCUAGCUGCAGGUAGAGAUUUCACUAUGAUACAUAAAAAACCAUAGGAUACCAUAAAGUUGGCUUUCAAGAUUACAGAUACCAUUUUAGCUAGAAGCUAAAAAAUUUAAAAUUACAUUAAUGGCAUUACAAAUCUAGCAAACAAAACCUCAACUUCAUCAGACUUGUAUAAUAAAAACCAAUUACCACUAAAUCUUAAAAAUAAAUAAAUAUAUGGAAAAAGCUGAAAAGCUAUCCUUGAGUACAACAUUACAAUAAAUCUGUGAUCUUAUCUAUAAAUGGGUACAGAGCAGUUCUGAGUAAGUGACUAUCAAUUUUAGUGUUUUAAUAACCAAUUUUAGUUUUCUAUUACUGUUGUUUCUCUUAACAAUGUAAGAGACCAUGAUUUAGUGACGUCAAAAUGGUAACUAAGAUACAAUGAUAGAAGAAACAAUCUGAAUUGGCAUGUAAAAACUGCAGCCAUGUGGUAUCAAUAAUUGCAGAAAGAGAAUGCAAACAGUUUCGCAACUUGGAAAACUUUUUACAAGAUGUUUACAGAUGCACAACAAAAUGGAAUUACACUUUCGCAUAUGUAAUAUAUGGGAUUGGUCCAGAUAGGAAGAGUAGCUCAGAUAAGGAUUUAAGGAGCCCUCAUAUAAGAAAAUCUGAUUAAAAGAUGCAAACUUAAUUACAAGCAUGCAAGGUUUCAAUAUGUGCGUAAAUGAUAAUGAGGAGUAGAACUUCCAUAAGAAAGUCUAGGCAUGGGAGUGAGAUUAUAGAGCAAGUGAAGCACUUUGCGUAUUUAGCUAUUUUGUGCAUAAUAAAUCCAGAGAAUGAAUGCAACCACACUAGGGAAUUUCUACGUCAUCAAUAUUGACCUAAAGCACUUCAUUUGUCUUCGUACUUAGGUUUGUAAGUUUUUUCACAUGAAGAUAAACCAAAUUAUAUACAAUAAUGUAAAAUGCAGGAUCCCCCCAAUAUCAGCAACUCUUUAACAAGUACGACUGCUGUACAACAGAAACAAACAUGACAUGCACAAAAAACACAUGGAAGCACCAUAAUAAUCUCUGCCACACUUAGACAGUCACAAACCCAGCAAAAUGUAACACAGCACACAAUCCAAUAGCAACCGGUCAUUGUCACACACACAAACAGGAGGCACAGUCACAAAGGCACACCUUUUCUGCGCCUCGUCACCCAAUGAGCAGCGCUUCUUAAGUGCCUUGAUGAGGCCACCUCACCUUGAGGUAGGCAAGGUGUUCAGGUUUUACCUGAGCAUGUCUUGAGCCUCAUGCACACCUCUAACAAAGUAGAUAUUUCCACUUUGCAGUAUUUGCAAACAUAAUGGAAGUAUUCGACCUUCAAAACAUUUGGAAAUGUUUUUGUUGUAGAAUAUAUUAUUGAAUAAGCUAGUCAAUCAUAAUCAAGAUGUUGCUAACAUUUGCCCAAGCAACUUCUUCUAAACAAGCUUUUCUUAUUUUUCUAAUCCAUAUAAGCAAGUAAGACGCAUGAUAUUCUACCUCAAGAGCAUCGUAUGCAAUCUAGAGCCAAUCCAAGCAAAUUUUUACCAAUUCCUUGAACCACUACACAUGGAACCCAAACAGUGGUUUGAUGCAUGAAAAGGAAAUGGUGCUUGCAGGAAAUCACUGUUUUUAAAAUGUUAAUACCAUAUAUGGAUGAGGUUUGAACAGCAAGAGCAAAACUUUGAUUUGAAAUAGCAAAUUUGGGUUCUUAGGAUUUAGAAUUGGAUAUGAUCUGUAAGGAAGAAGACAGAUUUGUUGUUAGGUUUAUCAUAUAAUAUUUUUUAAGUGCUCAUAAAUCAUGUGUGUUACAAGAAGAAAGAAAGGAAAAAUGCAGGAAAUAUCAGGCCAAUCAAUGAUAAUCUUCUUUUUGAUAUCAAAAAUAUCAACAACAAUCUGUCCAUAAAUCAUUCAUUCUCUUUUUUUCUUUUUAAUCUCUGUUUUAUGAUCCAGUUUACCAUAUAUUCCAUAUAUUUUAGUACUAAGGCCACUCUUUAAAGAAGAAGAGGUUGCUUGUAAUAGCUGGACUUCUCCUAAAUCAUUCAUUUUAAUGUAUACAAUCAGAUGCUUAAAAAAUAUAUAUGUAGUAAGAAAAGCUGUCCGUAAUCAGCAUCUAAACCCAGUAUAAUUGUUAAUAUUUCUUAAAAUGCAUACAAGUGUUGACGACACAACACAAACAAGGAGAUGUUUACGGGUGUAACACAAGGUUUGACAAAUUGAUUUUGGUUAACCCAAUCAUGUUUUGGAUUCAAAAUUUUGGUGGUUUGCACUUUUUUGGUCCAAAUUCCCAACACUUUGGUCAAAAUAAAUCAGACAGUCAAACAAACAGAAAUAAAAGAAAUCAAGCUAAGAAAAUACAUGCUCUGCAAUAUUUAUGUAUUUUGUAUUGUAUAAAAUCACAGGGUGUGUGAUUUGAUUUUUCUCAAACUGAAACUAUGAUAUUAUAAAACAUAUAAAAAGCAUACACUAUAAUUUUAUAGCAUAUAAUUUUAAUAAAAUUCUAUAAUAUCUAUCUCAAAUCCAUAGGUAAGCAAGGUGACACACUCAAACCAGCACCACCACCCUAAAAAGGAAAAAUCCUUAAUUUAUAUGGGAAGUUAAUGCAUUCUGAUGCUCUAGUAUAACAUAAAAAGGUCGAUGACUUUCUUUUACAAAAGACGGCUCAAUGGCCAAAGAUUUGGACAAAGAACUACAUGUGGCUAAGCUGUAUGUAAACAAGUGGAAAAGCUAGUAUAACUGCAUCCUAGUAAAUUUAGUAUAACUACUUUCUUCCAGACGAUGCAAACUUUAGGUUACAAAGAAGUGUAUGAUGCACCUUAAGUGUAAAUAGGAGCAGGUAUGCGCACAAGAUAAAAAUUCCUGAGCAAGCAGCGGACCUAAGAUAAUGUAGUCUGGUAACAAAGGCUGGCUCCCAUUACUAGAUUGAGGGACUCAUUAUAGUUUAUUUGGUCCAUCAAAUCAAGCCUAUCAACCACAAACACUAAACAAUCCUAAAAUUAAUGUUAUACCUUCCUAAUUCCAAAAGAAUCCCAAGAGACCCUUAACAGAAGGAAAUAGCAAUUUAUUGUAGCACUCAGUAAAAACUGAAGUUAUGUAAAUAGCAAAGCAUAAUCAUAUUCCAAAAUAACUAUCAACCAUCUGAUUAGUACCAAAAAUAAUCCUAAAAUAUUCUUAAUAGAAAAAAAUUAAAAAGUAUUUUAGCACAAAAUAGAAAAAGCAGAACGUACUCUCAUUCCCAGUCUAACUACCAACCAACUCACUGAUAAACAAAAAAUUUUCACUCUGAUAGGUGACCUUUCUCACAUGCCCUUUUUUUACAUGUGUUCUAAUGUUUUUGGUCAAUGUAACAAAGAAUUUUGAAUUUAUGAAAAUAUGAUUUCUUUCAUGAACUGAAGUGGUAGGUGAAACAGACAACAAUUUUUACUAAGCAGAAGUUCCUUUGCUCAAAAGAUCGGUGGUUGAGUUCUUAAAAAUCCAUUAUAUUGAGCCUAUUGCUAACUUUCCUGCAUAAUCAGAACCGAUGAAUCAAGAUCAGCUGAUGAACAAAUGCUACUGGAACUAGUUAUUCCUCAUGCAAUGUAUUUGAUAAUUUUCCUUGAACCAAAUUCGAGGGCAUAAAGAAAUAGAACUGCAGAUUGAUGGUCAUAAGCAAAAUUCACAAGAGCAAACAAAUGUAUCAGUCAGCAUAUGAGCCAUAGGAGUCAGCUUAAACAUCCUUUCUUAGUGCUGACUGUGGCACCUUAUGAAUAGCUUUAUAUGGGAUGAGAUGGCCCUUGUGAUGACCAAUGAAUACAGUGGUCCAGAAAACAAAAGACUGAGGUGAUGGAUCUAAGGACAAACAUAUGCAAGUUCCGUUGUGCACUCAUGCAUGACUGCAUAUAAUUCCCAUUGUCAUGAUCUAUCUGUCAUAUUGUGUGUAUGUAUAAUGAGUAGUCUUCAAGUUCAACAAGUUGGAAGAACUCAUCGAGGGAGAGAGUCGAAUAAUCUUAAGAUUCAAGAGUGGAAUCAAUCAAGACCAUCUAAAGCAAAUACUGGAGUUCGGUCUGUGCCGUCUCCAAGUCAUGUUUCCAAGCUACGACUUCAUUUGCUCUAUAUAUUUUUUCUCACUCAUAAGAGUUCACCUUAAGGUCUAACCUACUCAUGCCUCUUACUUAAGUGCAUGAUGUUGCAUUCCUGCUUCGUUCUCACUCAUUCUUGGUAGCAUACGCAUACACAUCCAUAUAUUAUACACUAAUAUCAAAAGAUUAGUGGUGCAGGUGAGCUUGAAAAGAAGUUCAGUCUCAUAAACGGCCAUACAUACUAAAAUCUGUAAAAAAGCAAGCUUCUACUAUAAACCACAGCACUUCCAACAAAGAGGCCAAAAAAACACUAACACGCACCUGCGUGCACAAUAGGACAGGACAGUAAGUGUUCCGAAAUAACUCACCCUGUUGAAACCAGCAAUCAAGGUUAUAGGAACCCAGCCCUGCUCGUCCAUGUUCCGCCGCAAGUAAAUGUCCUUGCACAAAUUAUCAGAACUGCACGAAAAAAGAAAAACGAAGAAGAAAUACUAACUUAAACAAAUACUUCAUGAGUCACUAGAAAGAUUACAUUUAUGGACUAGGGAAUCACCUGAAGUAGUAAUUUAUCUGCUUCAGUAACAUAGCGCGCUGAGGAUCUAUCGCCGCUGGGGAAAACACUGCAGGGGGUGCUGCUGCUGGAUGAGCAAUAAACGGCAAACCACUGAGAGUCUCAGGAGGUGGGGGUGUUGCCACAUAGUACACAGGAGAAGGCAUAUCUAACAAGGAGACCAAGAUCGCAGUUAUAAACAAUGAAUCUCAACGCCACAUGGGAGGAUAUAUUACCACGAACCAACCAUAGAGAGUGCAUGAAACUCACCAGGGUAGCCGACAGGAUUCCCAAAAGGUCGGACCUGGGGCGGUGGGCUGAGAAACGGUGGCGGAGGCGGUCUGGGGUACGGUCGCACACCCCGCUGCUGCGCGCUGGCAUCUCUGCUGCCAAAACCCCGAGGACCCCACACGAAGCUCCCGCGAUCCUGAUCGCGUCGGCUUCCAAAGCUGCCGCGGUGGGACCCGCCGCCGCCACCCCGCCGGUUGCCGCCGUAACCCCGAUGGUGAUCAUUCCAACCAUGUUGCUGAGGUGCGAAACCACCCCCCCUGGUGCCACGGUCCCAGUUGCUGUUGCCGCUGCUCUUGCUGGGGAGGUCUCCGGGAGAUGGUUCUGGGAUGGUCUCUCUGUCUGGAGUGAUCUGAGUCGCCGCUGCCGAAGCCGGCGGCGGAGAUUGUAGUGCCGGCGCACCAUUGACCGGUGUACCGCUGCUACUUCCGCUGCCACUACCACGCUUGUUGGGUUUCUGGCGAACAGGAGAAGCGACAUGGUUUGUGGUCGAAUUCAGGUUCAUAUUGUUCGAAUUCGGCCUCGGAGGAGUUGAUAUCACGGGCCCCUAAUUCCAAAAGAUUGUAUGCAUAUAUACACAAACCAACAUAUGAAGUUAAAAGAAGAGCAUGCAUCGCUAUUGAUCUCGACUUUUUUUGUUUCUUUCUGAAAUACUAUUGAAAUUUCAAGAAAGUUUAGAGAUCUCACAGGGGGAGCAGAGACUGUUCCAUCGGAAGAACCCUUGAGAGUAUUGGGGGAUGACGAUUUGGGGGAGGCCUUGGUGGACUCGGAGAGAGGGGGCCAGGACACCGCCCCCAUGACAGGACCAACCUCGAUCGAGCCGUUGGAUGGCCUUUGCCAAGCAGGCUUCUUCCCUCGGGCGGCGGCGGCGGCGGAGGAGGAGGAGGAGGAGGAGACGGAGACGGAGGCGGAGGCCGCAGCAUUACCGUUGCACCCGUGCUCCGGUUCAUCCGAUGGCAUCGAGGACUGAGGAACGGUGCCGGACGAUGAGGCCACGUUCUCGGAUGGCACCGGAGGGGAGCGAUCGGAUGGCUCCGGCGGGAGGAUCGCGGCGGCCGAAGGCGGGGGAGAUGAGGGGGACGCAACGGCGAUGGCGGGCUCGGGAUCGCCGCGGAGGACGUGGGUCCACGGGAAGGAGGGGCCGCGGGAGGGACGGGCGGAGCCGGGGGAGUGAGGGAUUGAGGAGAAAUCGGCAGCGAAGGCCAUAGGGGCGGGCGGAAGCUAGGGUUAGGGUUCCGAUCGGGAGCUCCGGCGAGGGGAAGGGAGGGGGGCUUAGGGUUUUCGGGGGUUUUCUCUCAGUGAUGCAUAGUUUCCGAAUACGACGAGGACUCGAAGAUCCGAUCAGGGGCACGUACGAACGAGGGAGAUUCUCUCUCCUCCCUCUCUCUCCCUGCCUCGUUGUGUGUCGCUCUCGCCCCCUUCUCUUUGCUCUUUUCUUUCCUUGUCCGCUUUGCCGAAUAAAAACCAAAUAAAAAAAUUCUCUUUUCUGUUGUGAAAUAACCUAACGUUUUCCAGCUUAUUACUACGACUUGCCCGAACCCGCCUGACCGGAGAGGUGAUAUUUUCCGCUUUCUGCUUUCAUGCUGUAAAGAAUUGAUGAUAUUUUCCCAUGCCAAAACAUAAUUGCACCCAUUUAAGUUGUAUAAUUUAAUACCUACAAGAUUAAAUAUUUUUUUUUACUUGAUUCAGCUGCUUUACAAAACUCUUGAGUAAAUAUAUCCACUCAAAUUAGUCGCAAAUUUUUUUUAAAAGUUUCUCAAUAGAAUAAAAAUUUUCCACAACUUCGAUCCAACAUGGUCUACUACAAAAGAAGCUAUUCAGUCUGUCAUCCUAUUAUCCUUUCUGAAAACAUGCGUGACAAUAUAUGAGGUGAUGUACCAUUUAAGUUUCCAAAUAUCUAUCAUUGAGGGAUAAAUAAGCUUCUGAUCAUGUGCCUCAAAGGUAAUCCAAAAAAUAAUAGUCUUGUAGUCCUCUUCCAAUAUAGUAUGAUCUACAUGUAAAACUGUGAUGGCAUAAAUCAAACCAUCUUAUAUAGUUGUCAUUUCAACUAGUGGGACUAUCGUGUCAUAAAUGGAAGAGCCGCCGGCUACAAUAAUCACUAACCUAGAGUCCCAAGUAACAAAACUAACUCCAUCAAUUGUACUUCUAUUUUUCAUAUUAUCAUCGAAGUUGAUUUUGAGAAAGCUGGAGAAUCCUAAGUAAAAUAAACGACAUGGGAUGCAGAGAUGCUUGCGCGGAACCUUGGAUUUUUCUAACUCCUAUCAACGCCUCCGAUGAUCCAGCUUGUAUGAAGUCAGAGGCAUGUUGUAAUGCUCUCAACAUAGUAACUAGAAGGCUUUUGCUGAUUUUUUUUCCUGAGCCUUUUGUUACUGGCUAACCAUACACCAUAAGUAGUGUAGCAUAAUAAAAUUGAACUCCAAUCAUCUACCUGUCUAGAUGAAAACCUCCAAGUUCCAAGGGUGGGAGGAUACAGACAAAAUAGCUGAAGGCCAGUCUCCAAAUUUGCAUAGCUUUGGGGCACUUGAGUCAUACAUAAUCAACUUAUUCUUCUAUCUCCAUACAGUGUUCACAAAAAGAGGAAAAGUAAUACCUCUAUAGUGAAGAAUCUUUUUGUAUGGUAAUCGAUUCCAAACCAGUUUCUAAAGAAACAAUGCCUCUUUUGGAUGAAUUCCUACUUUCCACACCCAUCAUGCAUCGCUCUAAGGCCCUGCAGAAUCACUGAAUAAAGAGUAAAGCUCCCUAACUUUGACUCUUAGUCCUCUGGAGCCUUUCCAUCUAAAAGUCUACCGAGUCUUCCAACAGAAUCACAAUGAAAAACACUUGGGAGCUAAGCUUAUCUCCAAAGCACUGAUCGAUGAGUUGUUUGUUCUACUUCUUUCUUCGACGACCAUCAAGUCAUAUACCACGGAACUGUAGAGAUCUAGGGGUCAUUUAACACACUAAUGGUCCUCCAUUCCCCAACCAUCCAUCUAAAACUGAAUGCAAGCAUAGGAGUAUAUGCACAAAGAGCUCUCCAAAUAAAUGAUUAUUGAUCGAUAUCAAUUUCAUGACCAUAUAAAUAAUAUUUCAUCUAUCCAUCUAGCUAAGUUGACAUAAAUAAAAAAAAGCAAAAUCAAUGAACAGAACAACUAUAGCCUAGUUUUUUUCCCAACAACUACAAUGGGCUAGUAGUAUAAGCAUUGAGAAGAAAGAUGUCAUUCCGUGGAUUGAAAUCCUGUGGACAUAACCCUAGUUGUUUACCAAAUAAUAAAAAUGAUUACAAAUUAUUUUAAUAAUCAUACAAAAUGUCUAUGUAGGUUAAUUUGGUCCACUGGUUAGCCAGGAAUUAAAUUGCAUGUUUACUAAGAGAGCUUGUUGAAGCAUUGCGACAAUCUAAGAAUAGUCAUUGUCAUCAUUUUAUGAUACGAGGCAAACAUCAAGCACAACUAUGACUUGAGAAAGCUUCAACGAGAAGGGUUAAAUAGGUUCGUAUGAUUAGCUAAAUCAGACAUCAAUACUUUAAACAUUGGUAUUGAAUUCAUGGUACAGACAUUACUAGGUAAAAAAAAGUAGCUGUACUGUGGAAAUUUAAAAUCCAAGUGACAUAUAUGAAGUUUUAUCUUAUUGGUUAGAUGUAAAGCUCAUCCAAUGAGGAAUAAUGAUAACUUUAUAUUAGAAACAAAUAGUAGAAACUAGGGAAUAUUGUAGCAUGACCAACUGAACAAAACUAACCAGCAAUUCUAUCAAUAUUCAAUCUUGAGUAGCCUAAAAUAUUCCAUAAUUGUAUGGACAUUGUAGAGGUUUCACAAAAGGUUGAAGUAUUGGUAUGGUACCUUGUACCAGCACUAAAAGAUGAAAUACCUUGUGCUGAUAUAAUCGUGGUGCAAGAGGAUAACGGUAUUGAAAACUUGUGGUAUGAUUUAGCACAGACCAAGAUAUUGUAGUUAAAUCUUUACUCUUUACUCUCAUCAUUUGUGUGAGUCUCCACUCAUCAAACAAGGGCCUGCCAUGGAGCAUAAUUUUGAUUUGACCAAGUUCCAAGGAAUGGAUUGAGCCUAUUUUCUUGACUCACUAUCAAGCAAAUAUCAAUCAUGUAAUUAGUGGUGUUGAAAUCACAACCACGAUAGGACCAAGAAGAAAGCAUGCAAUGAAACCCUAAAAAAGCUAUUGUUAAGCAAUAAAGAUAUAUUCUAUCAGUCAAAGUUCAUGCAAUCAAAUAGCAAACCUUAAAGUUUAUUUACUUAUAAUCAGAGUUUGUAUGAAACGAGAAUAUGAUAGAGUUUGAUAGAGGAGAGGAUAAUUAUCUUUGAGGCACAAAUUACAAGCCCAAAUAGCAAAACAAGCUAAGAAGUAAAACCAAAACCUUAGUCAUAUCCAUCCCAUUUAUUAGAGAGCCCUCUCUCUUAUUCUUCUUAUUAUCAACCUUAAGAUAGUCUCUUUCCAAUAUAAUCCAUUUAGCCCAAAGAUGUCGAGCUCUUUUGAGAUUUUUCCGCAACAACAACCCUAGAUGAUAUGGCUUGUAAAUUGUUGGAAUCCCAUCAUCACCAGCAGUAACCUAUUACAAACAGCAUGAAGGGCCUCUUCAUAUUCCGUCCUCUAUAAUUGGAUGAGAGAGCAGGCUUUGGAAGUUUUUAAGAUCUUUUUUGUUCGCAAUCUUUCUAAAAGAACAAGGGCAGCAAACAAAACAUAAACGAUUUAAACAAACUAAAGUUUAAAAAUUAUUUAACAUGCAUUUUUUUCACAAAUUGUAACCACCCUCCACUUUUAGUCAGAUUACCUUGUUUGCAAGGUGGGCAUAAGUCUCACCAGUGACAUCAAUUCAUUGAAAGCACCUAGAUCAUGUAAGACUUGCUAAAGGAGUCUAAUGUAAUUUAUCCAAAUUUUCAUUUAAAUGAAAAUCAUAUUAUUGAAAUAUAUCUGUUUUUUAGAUAAAGCUUCAUUGUGGAUAAAAUUAUGACAAGAGAACGAAAUGUUGGAUUCUAAUCACUUCAAGUGGUCUAAUUUAAUCAUGAUGUUUGAUUUUGCAAAUCCAAAUAGCAGAGGUCUAUAGGAUAUAUAUAAAGUUAAUCUCAUCAAGAAAUUAAUUCUUUCUCUCUAUAAAGAUAAACUAAACUCAUAGGAUAACUUGAAUGUCAGUAGAGCGCCCUGGCAAGUUAGGAGUACUCUGGGCAAUGUUACAUGAUGGCAUGGUUAAUUCCAAAAGCAUGCAUCCUAAUGUUGUCAACUCAGCCAAUUAGAUGCACAAGGUGUAAGAAAAUUAUAUAUGAAAGCCAUCACAUUGAUCCUCAAGUGGCAAUAUAGUUAAUGUUAACCUUUCAUCAUUAGUUCUUUAUUUUUAUUAUUAUUAUCGACGCGAAGCAAGGUUUUGAUCUUGAAAACAUAAGAUUUUUCUGAAAUUUAGGUCUAAUUUUGACAAAUCUGCAUAUAAUGUUAUUGAAGAGUAUGGGAUUAAUUUAGGAAAUCAAAUGGAUACAUAAGCUGGCGCAUAUGACGGCGGUGGAUGAGCCCGAAGUAAUUUAGAUAUGGGCUUAAUCUAGGUAUAUAGUAUCAUUGGACAAACUUUGUGAUUCAUCUAACAUGAUGCAUGUAGCAAAUUACCAAUAAUUGAUGCAUAUGAUUCAUUAUUCACAUGAAAUUUAGUAAAUGUCCAUUAUGAGUUAAAUAAUUUUCUCAAUCUACCUUAUUACCCACGAAAUAAAAGAAAGGAGGAAAAUAAGAUUGAUGGAGGUAAUUUCUUUAAGAACCUUUUUUUUUCUUUGUUAGAAAGAAAAGCAGUUUGUAUCUCAAAGUGUAGUCCAAAGAUCAUUAAUUGUUGCAGUCGUUUCUCUUCCAUCUUGUGCUUCGCAUCGAGCAUCAUAUAAUCCAUGGACCUCUUCUUUUGGCUCCCCAGCAAAAAGAACUAGGAGACAGUUGACCAAGGGUUUGUCUUUGGAUCCCCACCAUUGAAAUCAAAUAAGUAAUGCUUGUCAUAUCCUUGAUUUCCUGUCCACCAUCCUUCAUUUAGACCCAGGCUCAAGCAAAUUAUAUGUUGAUUGACAUAUGAGAAUAAUUACUCUUCCCAAGCCAAUCCUUUAAUGAUUUUUUUUAUAAGCCAGCAAGAUUAUACAAUUUUAGUAUGAGUAUGUCCAAAAAAAUCGGAAAUAAAAAAUGACAGAAGAAAGAGGAAAUCGUAUCGUAGCUAGCCCAGAAAAUGCCGCCAAAGUACUGAGUCCUAUAGGAAGCGACUUAAUCAGCUACCUUAUUCACCUCCAUCCUUGGACAACCUUUUUCUAGAACAUAUGCAACAUGUAAGGGAUAACGGCCCGUUUGAUUGGCCCAAGGGGUAGAAUGUGAGAAAAUGGGAGCAUGAGUAGUUGUUCUCCUGGUGGACUCAGGGAGAGUUCCUAAAGAGUGGGAUGUAGUCUCUCAACCUUGAUGUUCUUAUUUCAUCCCAACACAUCCAUUAAAAGACAUACAUCAAGGAAAGAGGGAAUAAAGAAAGUUAACCAUACUCGUAGCGGUUUCAUCUCAUCAAUUACAUUGAGAAUUCCCAAGGAUGAAAGGGAUGCUACCUUUUGACACCAAAUUAUUUUUCUUGGAUGCAAGAGACAAGCAUAGGCGCUCUUCAUUAUUCGGAGCAUUUUAGGGCUUCAUGCAUUUAUUUAAAACUGAUGUAUUUUAUCAUUACAUUCAUAUAUUGUUGUACAUAGCAAUGACAUAAAUCAACAGAUUCACUUAUCAAAGCAACUCAAUCCAUUUGAACUGUUACAUGUCAUAAUUUUUGAUGACACCAUCCUCAAAUACUCAUUGGCUAUUUAUACAUGGUUAUGAAUUUGGCCAAACUUGGUAGCUACUAAAAGGAAAAGACCGGUCCAGUAACUCAUUUGUUGCGACAUGUUGCAAGGAUAUAAAUCAUUCGAUUCUCUCGUCAAAACAACUCAAUUAUCUAAAUUGUUGCAUUUCUUAAGUUCUAAUCAUUUCAUGUGUCAUUUCUUGGUUUGUAGAAACAAAUUAAUUUAGCAAAUUAACUGUUGCGACAUUGCCUGAUAUGUCUAAAGAUCAUCGAUAUGUAUCAAUACUUUUCUUAUAUAAUAAUGUAUAAGAAAAUCUGCUGUAAAAUAUGCAGACUCUUAUAAGAGCCAUUUGAAAUUCAUUGUAUCAGUAAAACCAGCUAAAACUUGGCAGAAACAAAUUUGUAGCGAUACAGUGCUGUUUUGAUAAGAUAAACUUUUAUGAGCAAAACCAGGUUUUAAUGCUAAAAAAACAGGCAAAAGUAUUAAAAUAUUUAAGUUUUUGGGGCAGGAAGAAUUAUUCAAUCCUAUUGGGAUAUCGCUAUUGGUUAAUGGAUAAUAUAUCCAGCUGGGUUCCGUGAUCCGAUGACAGGAGAUCAGAGCAGGCUCAGUCGGAGCCCAACCAAGAAUGCUGCCGUCAAGGCCCAAGGCGGCUUUUAGUUUAAACUUUACGUCAAGAGCAGGCUCAGUUGGAGCCCAACCAAGACAAGAGUUCUUCUAGCCCAUUAAGGUGGUUCUUCUAUAGAUGACCUAAUGAAUGCUUUACUUUCGGUUUUAGGCUUCUUUGGUCAUUUAAAUCCUGUCGCUGUUGCUUUUUUUUUUUCCAUAAGUUUGUUGAAAUGCAUUGAUCUUGAAUAUUCUGCUUUGCAUGGCUUAUGUUCUUGGUUUAUAUAUGGUUGAACUUGAAUUAGGAAGUUGGGUUUGCAUCGAGAUCCAUUGCAAUACGAUUUUGGUUUAAGAAAAGUUGAGUUUUUAGACGUAACUUAUGAAAGCAUUAAUUUACUAUAUUCUCGGAAAUGGAUUUAUGGUUGGGCCACCAAUCAUUCCCCUUAUAAUUACUUACAUUUCUACUAUAAUUUCACUUUUAAUCAACCCAUGGCUGUCAACAUUGUAUAAUGUUGAUUUUUGGUUAUGAAGGAUGAUUUAAGUUGCCAUGGAGUAAAUAUAACAGGAGUCAAAAUACAAGAGGUUGCACAACUAGGUGGGAAUGGAUCAACCAUGUGCCCAUAAAAUAGGUCUUGCAUGAUGGACUGCAGUCAUCCAGUCUGCAGCACUAUUUACAACUAUGUAAACAUGCAAAGCUUCAAAAUAUUAUGUAAUGUCCUUUGAGAAAAAUAGAGGAAAAAGAGCGGUCAUCCAAUCUACUUCAUUAAGCCGAGAGAGAAUCCAACAAAACAACACAAAUCUCAAAAAACCAAUCCAAAGUUCAAAUUUCAAAUUCAAGCCACUCAUCUAUACAAAUAUUUAGAAUUCAAUAGUUCCAUCUCUAGAAUAUUAUCGAAACACAAGAUACGAUAAUAUUGCUAAAACUAUGAGAACCCCAACAACAACCACCAAAAACAACAAUAUUGGCAACCAGGAAAGAUCUCUAAUCAGUAAGCUGAGAUGUUGCUAUGGUGGGGAACUCCAUCAUCACCCCCCAAGAAAUAGAGUCGAAGAGAGGGAGUGUAAUACUUGUGAUGAUGAAAUUCACUGUCAUGAAUCCAUCAGCAUCGUGUGGCCACGAAGGAGGCCAGCAACAAGUUGGUAUGUCACAACCUAGUUGAGAAGGGGAGAAACACUCAGAUGGUAAGGGAAGGAGGAGGGAAGGUGAGGCAUAGGCAUAGUUAUGGCAUUUCAAUUUAUUCAAUAAUAUGACGUAUAUGACUAUUGUUCCUUCUGUUAAUAUUGCAACCGGUUUGCGUGUGUGUGUUUUCUUUUUCUUUUUCAAUGCCUUUGAGGAUGAUGCGUUUUAUUCAGCUCACAUCAGUUUAGUCUGUUAAUCUAUCAGUAUUUGUUCCCAUGUUGGAAAUCUGAAGUACCAUAUAUAUGGAACUGGAGAAAAAAGCAUAUAGAAUAAAUAAAUAGAGGUAGCACCGAAGCUAAAAUGAUCCUUCAUGGAUAUACAAUGUAGUAAUUUUGGAUAGCUCAAUUAGCAUUUGGAACACCUAUCUUCCGAACAAUUCGAAGAUUCCCUCUGUCUUACCAAAUAAAAUGUCAAAAGUCUAGAUAAAAAUAUAUGUUUCUUUAGGUUUGCAGGCAAAUAUUUUUCGCAUGGUAAACCUCUCCCUUCUUCUCACAAAAGGUGCAAAUUUCUGAUGGAGGAAUGCCACCAUGCACUGAUAGGCAUUCAGUGGACAUAAUGUUCUGAUGCAUAAUAUCAAUGCAGCAGCAUGUGUUGAUGUAAUAAUUAUGGCAAGAGCAUGAAGGAUCAUAACUCGAGUGGGUUAGGUAGAAAUUAACUCCACCUAUGUAGUCUCAUUCUGGAGUGUUAGUAAGGGUAGGAGGAACAUGGACCCAAACCUUCGCUUUCGAACUUUACAUCGAAUUGUCAAUAUACAAUCCGAAUACAAACUUGUCAUAAGAAUGUAUCAUUUCUAGGUGCGCCUCCUAGAUUCUUAAGCCUCCAUUGGUGGGAAUUAUAGAUUCUUUCAUGCUACAAUGUCUACAACCCUUGAAUUCAUAUAGAGAUGAAUCAUCUCCAGAACAACAGAAAAAAUCUCAUGUACCAUCACAGGGUUAUGUGAAUUUGUCCAAAACUGCAACCCGAUCGCAUCAUAAACUAAUAAUAAUAAUGAAAGAAAAAUCGUACAUACACAGCUACUUGAGAAAGAAAAAAAAAAAAAAAGGAAGCGACAACGAUGCCAUCGAACCUACUUCUUUUUUUUUUUUUGAAUUUUAUUGGUUGCACUCGUACAAUAUUGGUGUGAGUCAUCACUGCAUUAAAAAAGAAAAAAAAAAACCUACUUCAUUUUGACUCCUAUCAUAUUAUUAGAUAUCAUUCGAAUAAAAUGUUGGUGGGCUGUCUGAUGGCUAUUGGACGAUGCAAGAGUGGAAAGGCAUCCAACCGACCUCAUCCCCGUUGGCUUGCGGCUUGCAAUGAUUGAGUGCUCUGAUUGUUGAUUCCAUUAGUGUCCUCCGGGCAUAUUCUCCUCCUCAGUGGAAGCUGCCGGAAGGGCUUGCCGUCGCUGUCGUCUCAAAUCACAAGGGAUAAGGAUGAGACCGGAAAUUAAUGACAGCAGCCGGCCAAGAUGGUUGCCGAUGUGAGGGAGGAAUUAGGCCUUCAUUUUCAACCCAAUAGGCCUCAAGCUUUGAAAUAACCUUACCUGAUCUCUAUACUAUAAAACCUAUUGGACCUGUAAACUCUGAGGACCCAUCAUUAGAUGUGCAAUUUGGAACGUUUAACUAGAUGUCUGUAUUUGUAUUUUCGGAGUGACAUCGUCACAGGACCAAGAAUAGUAAAGAAUCUAAUCUUCAUUUGGAAAAUGGUUAGCAAAUCAACCACUGGCACUUAAGUCUCUCGAUGCAUCCUUUUCAGACUAAUUUAGUCGUGUGGGAAGAAGAAAGGGGAAAGUAUGGUCAAUAAAAAAAAUGACAAAGAGAUUUACGUUUGAUUGGAGGUUUCAAGAUGGAAAUGUGGCCUUUCUAUCGUCUUUUCCUUGCGAAAAUAGAUAUCCAUGGGAAAUAUAGAAAAUUGUAUUCUCAUCUAUCUUUCCUUGGUUAUAAGUUUUUCUAUCUUCUAUGAAAUAUAAAAACCUAUGUGAAACAUGAGAAAGCUACUGUUUCAUAAGCUGAUAAUCAAGAUAAAAUAUAUUUUUGUAAGAAAUACCUUUAGUGGCUUAUAUCUUUUUUUCUCCUUGCCAUCAAUUUAUUAAGGAUGUAAAAAUAUUUUUACAUAAUUUUUUAAUAAAAAAGAUGCUUAACAAAAUAUAAGUUACCUCGAAAAUGUGCUUUUUAGGUUUUUUUUUUUUGUUGAUCAACCAAGUAUGGUAAAAUUACUUUUUUUAGGUGUAAUAUAUCCAGGCAUCAGCUUUUCAGAAAAUAUAUUUCAGUAAAAUAAAUUCUUCCCACGAAUCGAAUAAAUCCUUCAUGAGAGCAAACGGUGGGAUGGCAUUCUAGACAUAAUUUUUUUUUUUCAAACUAAAUAAUAAAAAUGUAUGCAAGAAAAGUUGAAGUGCAUUUUCAAAGACACGUCGUUAUUGUUUUCAAAAAAGACAUGUAGAAAUUCUAAUACACCGUAGGUUUCUUGUAUCUAGAUGACAAUAUACUAGAUAUGCCUAAGGUUCGAAUAAAAAUGAUUUAUGUUAUAAUAUGUGGUAAACGAGUGCCAUGGAAAAGUAGAUCCAACUCUUACUGAAAUGCUGAGACUCCUCGCCUCGUUAAAUUUAAGGUAUGAGUGUGAUAGACAACGAUUGCGCAUUAUUACAGGGGACCACGAGAAUGGAGAUUGGAAUUGAAUGCUCAUGUAAGAGCUCUAAAUGAUGCAAACAAAUAAGUUUACUGGGAAUCUGCCAUUAGAGACUUAUUAAGAGUAGACCUUGGAAGGCCGCUGUUAUUGUCAUGCGCGGAAACCCCACAUUCGAUACCAAAUCGGCCUGGAGUUGGAGUUUGUCCGGCCCCUUCCGCAACUAGCUCCCGCGUCGUCGAUCAGCUGUUUAUUCAUGGACAGCAAACAGCCAUGUUUGGUUUUUUUUUUUUUUUUUUUUUUUUGCUUGGGCCUCCUCGAACACCAAACAGCUGCUCCGAGAGCGAGACCCACCUUGGGGCGUUCGUUCGCAAAGAGCCGGAAAAGGAGAGUUUGUUUCCUAUUUACCACAAACAAAAAAAAAAAGAAGAGAAUUUCCUCUUGACCGUUGCGGGGGCUCCAACGGUAAAACGACAACCGAAGUCUCUCGAAAGAAGUAGCCGUUGGACGUGAGCGACACGUGUCGCGCUCUUUGGCGCGUUCACGGUUCUACUUUUACCCGCGACGGCAAAGCACGGAGAGGCUGCGACAAACCUUAGAGUUUGCUGUUACGGGACGAACAGCAAACACGCAGCUGUGGUCCGGUGCGGUGGUUUCGGAUUCGUUCGCGAGGACCUUCUGUGCUGACGAGAUAGACGACAGCGACAGCUCACCGCCAGACAUCUAAACAGCGACAGCAUGCCUGGGCCCGCACACUAACUUUCUGACCAACCACGAUAUGCCACGUUUCUGAAUUGCGGCCACUCAUUUGGUGGGCUCGUGGGCCAGUUCGAGACCUCGCUUACACUGGUGGUAAGUGGUACACGAAAACUUUACAUUCACGGAUAAGAUCGGCCGGACCGUUGGGUUUCUUCGAACUCGGGGCUCUAGGUGUACGUUGGACACUUAAAUACCUUCGAGCGUGAUCGCCGUUCGCUUACAUCUCAACGGUCGUUGGCGAGAUGGUCCAACGGCUGGGUAGGUCGGAGCGCACGGAUGGGGUAUAUUUCGAGCUGGCUGGAUCAUUCUCCCCUACUGCCACGGUCCACCACAAGUUGUGUACAAAUCGGCGCCUUGUGCCAGCUCCAUAUGUGUUCGAUUGGGUAGUAGAAUGCUGCCACGUGUCCGAAAUUGCUUCCCUGGAACCCAACCUGGCCUAACAGCAGUACCGUGCCCUAUUUGCGUCCCUUCAAUCCAGAGAGGUGGGUUGGAGCCCGAGCCCUCUGUUUCCUGGACCCAUGCGCACGUUACGUGGAACCCAUUACGAGUCCAACAACUACCGUCGACUUUUGAAUGAGCGGUGGCGAUUCAUUCGAUCAGAGCACGGCCGUGGAAAGGUUGGAAGCGGUGGGAUUUUAGAUGCCAGGCAGAGACGACGGAUCUGAUCUUCUCCUCCGUCUCAUCUCGCCCGCUUUCCCCACCAUGAUUCAUGAUAUGAUCACAUGGUCUCGCUGUAACCGGGGCCCACACCAACCUCGCCUCUCUCUCUCUCUCUCUCUCUCUCUCUCUCUCUCUCUCUCUCUCUCUCUCUUCUCUCUACUACUACUACUANNNNNNNNNNNNNNNNNNNNUCUCUCUCUCUCUCUCUCUCUCUCUCUCUCUCUCUCUCUCUCUGUUCGUCCUUUCAUCAAGCAUCACAACAAAAAGUCCCCACAAUCAUCUGGAAAAUAAGCUCCACUGCCUCCGUUGGAGAUAAGGGACUCAUUUGGCUAAUAAACCAUUUUGGGUCACCGUAGAUCACUCUUUAAUUUAAUACAUGAGCUAGGACAUGAUGUUGCUUUAAAACAAAAAAUUCUAAAGAAAGCCUCCCUUUGGCAGACCACUACUUAUCCAUAAAUCCCCCACGACCCCCCUCGCUUCCUCGUUGUAAAAAGAGAGCAAGAGAGUAGAAAGAUAAAGAAGAGAAGUCUGAGCAAGAAAGGAGGGGAGAGAGAGAGAGAGAGAGAGAGAGCGAUGUCGAAGGAGGUGAGCGAGGAGGCGGAGCAAGCGCCGGUGAAGGACUACACCGAUCCGCCGCCGGCGCCUCUGCUGGACAUGGGAGAGGUCCGGCUGUGGUCCUUAUACCGGGCCGUGAUCGCCGAGUUCGUGGCCACCCUCCUGUUCCUUUACGUCACCAUCGCCACCGUCAUCGGCUACAGGGUCCAGUCCCAGAACGACCAGUGCGGCGGCGUCGGCAUCCUUGGCAUCGCCUGGUCCUUCGGCGGCAUGAUCUUCAUCCUCGUCUACUGCACCGCCGGCAUCUCCGGUUAGCCUCUCUCUCUCUCUCUCUCUCUGUGUGUGUUUUUAGUUUCACUUUACUUGACGUUCUUUAUACUGACCGACCAUGUUUAUUGUCUUCCAAAUAAAUAAAUAAAAUAAAAGGGGGUCAUAUCAACCCGGCGGUGACGUUCGGGCUGUUCCUGGCGAGGAAGGUGUCGCUGGUGAGGGCUUUGCUGUACAUGGUGGCGCAGUGCCUGGGAGCCAUCUGCGGGGUGGGCAUCGUCAAGGGGAUCAUGAAGCAACCCUACAACUCUUAUGGUGGAGGCGUCAACGUGGUCGCUUCCGGAUACUCCAAGGGCACCGCCCUCGGCGCUGAGAUCAUCGGCACCUUUCUCCUCGUCUACACCGUCUUCUCCGCCACCGACCCCAAGCGCAACGCCCGUGACUCCCACGUCCCGGUCCGUACUCUACUAGCUGGCUAGCUAGCUAAGUAGCACCAAAUUAGCAGCCCACUCACCUUUCUUGUUUCCUUCUGCUAACCUUUUUUUUUGUUUUGGUUUUUGCUACCCUUCUGCAUGCUGCUGCUUGUAUUAUGUAGGUCUUGGCUCCACUUCCAAUCGGGUUCGCAGUGUUCAUGGUGCACCUGGGCACCAUUCCCAUCACCGGGACCGGCAUCAACCCGGCCAGGAGCUUGGGACCUGCCGUCAUCUUCAACCAGGACAAGGCCUGGGACGACCAGGUAAUAAUGAUUGAUAUGAAAACCAGUUGUUAUAUUACAGGUUAUAAUUAUCUGGACUCAGUUUUGAAUUACGUUCUAUUUCUGUUGGUGGGUGUCGCAGUGGAUCUUCUGGGUGGGACCGUUCGUGGGGGCGUUGGCCGCGGCGGCGUACCACCAGUACAUCCUAAGAGCGGCGGCCAUCAAGGCGCUGGGAUCGUUCCGGAGCAACCCCCGCAACUGAGCUUGGAAGGAGUAAUUAGUAAAGUUACCAGGAAAAGAGGAGGUGGUGGUUGAGAUGGGUGUAGAAGAAGGCUCGCUCUUUCUUUCUCCUUUGAUCUGCUGUGUAUGUGAGAGAGGAGAGACAGAGACAGAAGAAGGGAGAGAGUUGUUGUUGGUUUCACUUUACCUUCUUUUUCUAGUUUCCUUUUGUGCUUAUCUCCGUCUGGUGUAACGUAAUGUAAGGGUGGGUGGAUGUGUGUUUCAUUUGUUGGAUUAAGUCGGGGAAUUAAAUUAAAUGGUCUCUGUUGUUCUCCUGUUGCUGUUAUUCUUUUCCUACUUUGAUGAUUCUAUUAUGUCCACUAACCAUUCUUUAUCCAGAACAUUCCAACCAAGCACUAACUUAACCGCGUUCCCUAUAAUAUAUGUAUAUGUUUUUUCUUGGCUAAUGCACCAACUUUAUCCAAUCCCUCCUCCUUUUCCAAAAGCCCCUCCCCGUUUUCUUCAUCAUGCCUUUAGCGGGGGUAAAUAGCAUAAUUUUAAUGAGUAAAGCUGGUGGUAACUGGACUUGGAAUCCUAAGUAUUUUGAGAGAUGAAAGGAAAAAAAACGUGGAAUUCGGACCGGGGGCCAGGCUGUAAAGCUUGUCGUGACCUUGGGAGGGUGGGGUCCGUCCGGGGGGAAGCGUGAGAAAAGGCGAGGGGAACGCGUGGGGUGGAGUGGAUGGCACGGCUGCUUUUGCUGCGGCUGCGAGCCUGGAAAGCAGGAGGAGGAGGGCGCGGUCUCCCACCGAAGGCCCGGCUCUUUCCCAUCGGUUUACUGCCGCUUGAAAUCGUUACCGAUCACGUGGGCGCAGCAGUUAAAAGCGAGAGCAGCUGGGGGGCAUCCCUCUCUCUCUCCUCGUGAUUCGUGUUCAGUGUUUCUUAAGGAUUGAUGGGCGGCGAGUAAGGGGAGCUGGGGUUUGGUAAAUGGUGGGCCAGCAGGCGCAUUGGGGAUGACAUUAAGUGAAGAGAUGGAAGAGAAGAGUGCUCCGAAAGAAGACAAAAUUGAUGAAUUGAUGGGAGCAGGUUAAGAUGGGACCAUUCGAAACAGCAAAUGAUAACGUUCGGAUCGUAGCGUGUGAUUGAGAUGGAGAGCUCUGUUGCUGGUUUGGUUGCAGUAUAUGUACUGCGCGGCAGCAUGUGAUUGAGCAAUUGUUGAAUGUAAAUUUGGGGGAAUAUCCAUGUCAGAGGACGGACGUUGACUGGCGCUGGCUCAAGGAUGGCAAGUGAAUAGAGGCCAGAAAUUUAAGCAAAAAAAAUGUGAAUAGAGGCCAGAAAUGCCAAGACCUGACCCAAAAUAAUUAGUCGAAACAGUUUCUAAGUUUAUCAGAUAUAUUCAGCACAGAUCCUCAAGUAUAUAUUUGAGGAUCUUUUGUUCAUAUAAAUUAUGGACCAAAUCUAAUUUGAUACUAUUUAUAAUAGCUAAAGACCUCACUCAAAAAUACUAAUUAAAAGAUAUAUUUUAAGAUAGAUACUUGGUGUUGAGCAUAUAUGAUUCUAAGAAAACUCCUCUCAAAAGUUAAGUUAUUUUUAGGUAUUACAUGUAUUUUAGAAGACAAACAACGCAGCAGAUUAGGUCUCCUUCUUUCUUGCUCGGCACUCUGAAGAGAUCACAUCCAUAGGAGACACCUUCUUUCUUGUACUUUUUACUUUAUCUUGGUUUGACAGGAUAUACUCCCGAUAGAUCUAUAUAAAUUACUGUUUUCACCAAAAAAAAAUAAUUAAAAAAUAAUUUUUUAAAUUUUUAAAUUUUGUAUAAAUAUGUAAAUUUUUUUCAGCAAAUAAUCGCCAUGAAACUAAACACAUAUCCGUAUAAAUUCUUAUAAUUUUUUUUGCUGAGACGCACUUAAAACAGCUAUAUUUGAGAACAAUUGUAUCACGUGUAUAUCGAGAUGUGACGGAGGGCAUAUGUGGUUGGAAGAAACUUGAAUUGCAGCAGAUCAUCAAAUCUUUUUUUCUAAUUAUUAUGGUGGACCCCAGGGUUAACAUCAUCGACCAGGAUAACCCAAAGAUUAUAACUAAUUUAUCUAGUUUGGCUUAGAUUACAUUAUUGUUAGCAUAAGUAAUAGAUGCGGUCAUGAUCAGCCAUAACAAAAUGUUGAGAAUAAGCAAUCCGGAAAAUAAAAAAAUGCUAUCAUUUUUAAUUAAGCCCUCUAUAAGCUACAAUCCAUGUUAAAUUAUUCCAACUGUGAUAGCAAGUCCACUAUUAAUACUAAACUGUGGGAUAACGACUGGAGAUUGGACCUGGAAUUGGAUUGCUGAGGAUAUAAUUUUGCGGAUGGGAUUUAGAUUGAGCUUUGAAUAUGAGGGAUACUGUUCCAGUCAGAAAUAGUUAGAGCCAAAUGGGACUCCUCAUCUUAAGAUCAUCCUCCUUGCUAAGUUUUUUUUUGGUACAUCGGCUGCUCAUACUGCUCUCGCAUGAGCAUAACCAGCUGCAUCACUAGCAAUAAGACUACAUAAAGCAUAAAGAAUAGAAGACAGCUAGGUACAGAGGACAUAUUUCGAAUGAUGAGCAGCAAAUGAAGCGAUCCAAUCUGAUUUAUCUCUCAAAAAACGUGCCUGUCAAGUCUCAAGGUCAUUCUUAUAUCAUUGUUAAGCUUUUUAGUUUUACAUCUCCGGUGCCGGGUCUCUCGUCUCCAGGACGUUCUGACUCGAUGCUUAUUUGCUUCCCACCUAACCUUUUUUUGUUAAUCUAGACCAUCCUUUUCCAAAGUAGUUUUCUUUUAUGUGAAAAAGAUAAACUAAAAUAUAGUCAGAAAUUUUCAUCCCUCAUCAAACACCAGACAGCAUCAUACAUUUUUAUAGAAAAACAAAAGGUUUCUUAUCCUGCAGAAAAAGACGGUGGCAUUUGGCAUCAAUGAGGUAAGGUGAAUAAAUCGAAAUAUAAAAAAAUUUUAUGGCAAGCAAAAAAAUAAAAAGGAAGAAAAAUAAAAAUAAAAUAUGUAAUAUUUACAUAGUUUGAUUUAUCCAUCUAAAUUUAUGGGCAAAAAUAUUGCAAAAGCUUCACUAUAAAAAUUAAAGAUUACAGAAUAUACGAUUUUUUCACAAUUCUUAACUCCCAAUACAUCCGAUCUCUAGAAUACUCGAUUGCCCUCUUUUUUUUUUAGCAUUACAAAUAAAAUAUAUAAUAGAGUAAGUCAAUUCAAACUUGAACUAGUAUCCUAUAAUAAUCAGAUUAGCCUGAUCCUAUCUGGUUGACAGAAGCUCCAUGCCCCUUGUACCCCUCGGUUAACUAUUCGUAUGGCUCUAAUAAAACUUGUGGUGGCAUAUAGGAUCUUUUUCUGACAUGAAGUUUGUGCUUGCUGAUAAGCUCCGUUAGAAAAAAAAGUUUUUUUGGAGUGAGAUUCUACGUUGUGACAAAUGAUAUCACAGUAAAUUCGACUUAUAACGUAUAUGAACUCGGAGACAAGGCAACUAAUCUAGAUUGAAUUUGUGGUACUUGUGAUUGAAUUUAAAUUGAUUUGAACUGUUAGCCUGCAAAGAAGCUAGAGCUUGAACAAUAAAAGUAUGUGAGGAUCUGUGCGGGCAUAUAUUCAGUUACAUAUCUAUUAUGCACUGAAUAGAUUUUGAAUAUUUAUAUAAGAUGGGCCUAGCAAGCGAAUAUAAUAUCCUUUAUUGUUCGUUAACCCUAGCAAGCUAAUAUAGCUAACCAUGCUGGAAGCUCAGGUACGAUGGCAGUGCUCGGCGGGUAAAACUUUUUCAUCCGCCGAGGUUGGAUCUUCCUCUAUUUUCCCUUCACUCGAUACAAAUAGCCUAAAACAGGGUCCUUUAUUUUCCCUCUAUUUUCCCAGAGAGAUUUUGGUUGUUAUCUUCAUAAUUAACUCUGCAACGCAAAGAGGUAAGGAUUCUAUAUCAUAUGCAGACUAUCAAAUAACAGUGUGAGCUCAAGUACCCAAGCGCUUGAUUUCAAAUAAGGUUGGCAGCUUUCUGCAAAUAUAGACACUUCUUCUUUUUAGAAAAUCAAUGAUUAGCUUCUAUUCUUAACAAGAAUCGCGUUCUUCAGGUAGAUGUAUAUUUUAAAAUAAAGCUUGUAGUGUUAGAGGGUGUUCUUAUGAUAAGCAAGAAUAUUGCUUUUCUAAAUCCACCGCUGAGCGAUCCAACCACGAAGCAACAUGCACACAAAUGGAUGAAACAGAAAAGAGCGGCAAUACAUAUGCUUCCAUACAUGUGCUUUAUAGUUGAACUGGUUUAUUUGCUAAGCGGUGGAUCUGAUCCAACUAAAAAUUAUGCCAUCUCUAGGCAGGUUAAAUGCCAUGUAUGGCCAGUAGAAACUGUCCGGCUAGGUUAUAUAUGGCCAACAGGAUCAAACUAUUCUCCCCAGCAAGUGCAGCAAACCUCCUUCCACCAAGAAUAGCAUUCUCAUUGUUUGACCUUGUGUUGAAAACUUUGUUGUUAACUAUUAUCGCUACAAUAAAGCGUAAAAUGCCAAGAAAAACAAAAAGAAAUAUCGAGACAUACAAAGAAUUAUGUGAUAGUGGAUCUGAUUUUGCAAUAUUAUCUAAAAAAAUGUGAACUUUUUUCUUUUCUUUUUUUUUGUUGUUGUUGUUGUUGAAGAUGGGAGGCUAGAACUAUCUCACUGCUACCCUGCUAGCUACUUGAACAGUCCGAUAUCUGUUGCUCCAAAGCCCACUUCGCGCGUUGUGUGUUCGUGGCCCAGCCCAUUAGGUACGAGGUGCAAAUGCAAUACAUUCAUGGAAAACAACCGAGCAAGAGGAAGAUAUCUUUUGAUGCAGAUGCCUUCGGCAUUUUUAAAAGUAUACGAUUAGAUGAUCUUAGAGCCAAAUGUAGAAAUGAUUCGCUAAUUCUUAAUAUUUUAGAAGGUCACCAAGAGUUUCAUAGUGGAAGUGGAAUCUAAACUUUAAAAAAAUGAAGGUCUCGCUAUGUACACCCCAAGAUGGCUCAAAAGCUUCGUAACACCCCAAGAUGGCAACGUAAAGAUCUCGAGGAUCGUCCGACUCGGAAAAAGUGGCAGUGGUGCUUGAUACAAACUCGGCUUGUGAAGCGAUGCUUUAUUAUCAGAAAGAAAUUAAGUCCUCGCAGCUGACACUGCCAUAAUUUAUAUCAGCAAGAAAACUUGCCGGGAGUUCUGCAGACAUAUGAUCAAGAAGGGUGCCGCAUGGCUGACCCAUAUGACUGAACAUAGCCCUCAAAGCUUUUAGGGAUGAGGAACACUAGAUUGAAUGUUGCUCCCACUUGAAGGUCACCUGAGAGUUAUUCAAAUUGCCAGCUACCAAUCAUGUGAAAAAGUUCCGAGUGCAUGCUUUUAACAAAGGGAGACCCCACCGAUACUGCAGGUCAAUGAACAGUACCAUAACAUGCUAUCAAGGAUGUGAUGCCCACUUGUGCAAAAUAAAAGGGUACACGACUUUAAAAAGAUGCUUAGCUUGCGCGUGCCGGGGUGUGAUUGUCCAUGGUUAGAGAGGUGGGCAGACUACGGGCCGGCGCUAAGGCUUUUAUGUUGUAUUUUGCUUUUUGAUUUUGUUGGCCAUAUUCAUACCCGUCGUGUGUGAACAGCCGAUGUACCAAAAAAAUCGAAUCCCAUGUUGGUGGCAUUUGAUAUGUAAAUGAGACUUUGGGGAAAUGGAAGAGCUUAAUAGCCUAGUUUACCAUGUGUUAAAGGUGAAGAAGAAGAGGUGGGAAAUGGGGCACCUUGAUUCAGGCUUUGGUCGUGGUACCGACCCGAGACGACAGGAGAAGACGGUAGGUAUAUGAAAAGCAAGAAGGGGAAAAGCUGACAUUAGGCCACACCGAAUUCCAGUACUGAAUUAUGCUGGCUUAAGGCUGGCGACCGUCUUUUAACGUUAGUUCCAUGAAACUUCUUCAUAUCCCAUUUUGCUUCCGGGAUGCCAUCAUAAUCUCAUUCACAGGCAGCUAGCUUGCAAAGAACCAGCAUCGUCUCUUUGAUCCAUAAACCUGAAUUAUUACCAUCACAGACUUUGGAGCAUAAACGUGCUGCAGUGAUUACUUGUCAUUGCAUUACGUUUUCCAUCAAUCCUGCAAUCUUCAGGAUUUCGACAUCCUUUCCUCCAUUUCAUGAACCGUUCUUCUGAAUAGAUGAUGCAGCCUGCUGCGUUCCAGAACCGUAAUAGGAGCCUCAACGACGAUGUGGUAGAGAUGGCAGUAGCAUACCGAGCUGCUUCCCGUCCUGGUGGGAUCUGGUUCACAACGAACUAAUACAAUACAUUCAGCGGAACACCCUGUAUGCAUUUACCCUCAACUCGACAAAAUCUCAUGAACCAUGAAAUGGAAGAGAUAUUAGAUUAGUACUAGUAAACAAAAAUGAUAAACCAAUAGGAUUAUUCCAAGCAAUGACCAGCAUCAUCAUGGUCAUCAUCCAAGCCCUUCUAACAAUCAAAAAGCAGUCUUUUCCCAUCAAAAUGUAUUAAAUAAUUCCAAUCCAAGAAGCCAGCCAAUCUAUGUGCCGCCUCAUUUUAGCAAAGUAGAUCCAGAAGUAAUAUAAAUUAAGAAUCCAACUUGUACGCUCUGAAACACAGAUCAAUGCAUCCUGACUACUGCAAAUUAGAAACAACGAAGAGAGAGUAAUGGCAAAAAAGUAUUAAACAAUCUCCACUUGGAUUAUCCUCGCCAACCAAAGGAGCUCGAGGAACCUGUGUGCUCAAACGAUGUAGCAUCUAACAAAGUCGUCAUCAGAACUCAUCAUCAUCUUCCUCGGCGAUAUGCUUUGCAAGCUCCUGUUCCUGCUGUUGCCUCUCCCUCCUCUUCUCUGCGCUUUCUUUCUCCUUGUGGGAGUUGGGUGGGAACCUCAGUGCCCUCACUGCUUCAUUGUGCAUGUUCAGGCAGAAGACAAUCCUGGAAUUGAAAGCAAUCUGUGGUUCGUUAGUAGAGUAGACGUCACCAGUCUCUUUAGAAACCAUCCACCCAUUUGCAUGAUCUAUGAUCGCAUCAACUGCCCCAUCUCGGAUGGCCUUGGCUACUAUGCUCUCAGCAUCGGCCACAGGAUUCUGAGAGUCCAAUCUCAACUUCCUGGCUACAUCAGCCAGAGAUAUGCGGGAAUACGAGAUGCUGAUAUUGCGGAGCCCAGUUCUUAUCACAUUGUGCCGCAGUCUCACGAUCAGAUUAUGCGUCCUGUCUGAGUUGAAUGUCCCAGAAAACUUAUCUGCAACAGUCCUAAACAACUCCAAGUCCCCAAUUUGAACAGCCUAAAAUAAGGAAAAAGAAAGAAUCUAAAAACCGUAGACAUGAUGAACAUUGUUUUUAAAAUAAUACAAAAUACUCACAUUUGUAAGCUCAAAGUAUGGUGUCAAAGCCUUCUUCAUGCCUUCCUGCAUAAAAACAGUUCUCUCAGGAAUCUCUCCAAGAAGUAAGCGGACAAUGACAGCCCACUUGUUGCAUUGGAUUCGGAAGCCUCGAGCUGCAACUGGUGCCUUCCGAGCAGCUUGCAAUAGACUCUCUUUGGCAUCUGUAUACUCCAACUGAAUGGUUCUGAUCUUUCCUAAAUAGAACAGGUACCGAGAAAACUGCAAGAAAAUUCCUAGCGUUAGCAGUCACUGGAAAAUCAAACCAUACUGCUUUCUGUGCUAAUGGCAUAGCCUAGAUAAUAAUGCUAGCUAACUUUUCCCUAUGACUACCUGUCUUAGCAGAAAAACUAUACCAAAACAACAAAUACUGGCGACGUUUUUUUCCCAAACAACCAUGAGAUGAUCCAACCAAAUUUGAAAAUGGAAAAAAAAAAAAAUCCUAGGAAAGAUGUUAUGCCUGUUGAUUUGAAUGUGCCUCAAAACGUGGUGCUUUCGACCUUAGCUUCUCUGCCUGGUCAUAUAGGUUGUAGUGGAGGUAAUUGCGAAGCAGAAGGUUCAGAAGAGUUUCCUGCAUGUCAACAUCAUGAAAAGCUAGUACCUUCCAUAUGUCUGAAUAUAUAAGAAAAUAUAAGAAACAGACCUGACCCAACUCAUCACGUCGUAAGGUUGCCAUUCUGUGCAGGGAAAGGAGGGUCCUGACAAGGGGUGAAAGAAAAUAUUUUAUUCUAAUAUCAUCUUCCUAAGGCAUUUCACAAAACAGAAAUUAGAUUGGCUCAUGAUGACAUCUAUACUUGUUUAUUUAAUAUAAAGCUCACCCGCGAAUUUCAGCAAGAUUAUUUGUAAGUUCAUAACUAUAAGAAUAAUAGAAGUACAGCCGAGAUGCUAGAACAUCAACUGUUCUUCUAUUAAUAUUCUUCAGGCGAGCAAUGCUAGAAGAGGAACAAGCUUUAGCCUGCAAGAGAAAACAUAUUGGAAAAGUGAAAUAACAUAUCAAUUUCAGUUCCAGUAAGGAUAUUAAAGCAACCAUCAAUUAUAGAAAAUUACCUCAUUGUAUCUCUUUUGGUCAAUCAGAAAUAUCAAAACAAGCAAGUAACAGUAGAUUUCAAGCUCCGGCAGAGAAUACUUAGCAAGACCCUGAGCUGCUGAAGUUGCUGUAUCCACAUCCAUAUCACGUUCCUCAUCCUAAAAACAAUCUCAUAUAAAUUUACAAAAGUUUCUAAACAUGCAGAUAAGCAUAAAACAUGAGCAUAAACAGUAUAAUAUUCAGCUGGAUAAACAGUACAAUCCAUUAAUCAAAUCUCAUGAGAGGAGUGGCAUAUAAACAGAUGUACAAGUAAAAUAGUAAAAUAAGGCUGAUUGGAAGCAGCAGCUUUAAGUUUGACAUCAUGACCUGUACUUUGUUAGGAGGCCUUACAAGAAAACUAAAAGGUUGAAAUGUUCGGUAUCAGGCAAUGCAUGAAGGGAUCUUGGGGUAUUAUGAUCCAAUAAAGGAUGCUAAGAAUAAACAAAAACAUAACAAUGAAGUUAAAUUAUCUACUUAAGAAAUUUGAUGCCCAUACUCAUGGCAGUCAUCUGCUGUAUGGUAUCAUUAGAGGAGGGUGACGCAAUGGUGCUUUGUAAGGGUUACAUAAAAAAUAUGGGGUAUCACUAUAAUUUCCUGCAAAUCUCACGCAAAUCCGCCAGGUACAAUAUAAAAUAUCAUUACAACAAAUCAUUGAGAUAAAGCAAUUUGUUGAAGUUAUUUAUAGAAGGCUAUGAGUUAAACAUGGUAAAUGGAAAUAUAUUUUAUUUUGGAUCGAGGAGCCUCUGGGCCCUCCAGAUCACAGUGGUGAGUUCUGCAUUCACAAACAAUUUGGCUAGAGGCAGAGAUCCAGAAUUCAGACAAAGUGCAAACUACUCACCCAUAGAUCUGGAAGAAGUUGGAUGGUAAACAUUGAAAAAGAGUUCUAGCAAAAAAUAAAAUGCUAAUGUAUAUGCCCAUGUGGAAAAGACAGAACAGUGAACUAUAGGAAAAGACCACCAUCACCAGCAACUUGUAACAUGAUGAAUCUGUGCAGGCCACCAUCUAUACAUAUAUUUAAUCCUUUUUUUUUUGAUGCCGCAGAUAAGAAAAAGAAAAUGAGAACAUAGGUACACAUUCUCCUAGACUGAAAGCUGAUUCCACUUAUAUAUUGCCAUAUAUGUGUAUAUCUCAAACAUCAUAAUCAAGACUUAGUUGCUGAUGCCCAUCAAAAUUAAACAUAUAUAUUUCU
rnacentral:lncRNA from 1 species